rnacentral:lncRNA from 1 species
AAGAAAACAAAUGCCUAUGUGUUGGGCCCCAUUUUGGCUCUGGUUUGAGCCUUGAGGACAAACUGGAGCCUGGCUCAAGUUUCUGCAGCCUUGUGGGAGAGUCUAAGCCUGGCUUGAGUUUUGUGACCUGUCUCAGUCACUUCCAAAUGACUCAGCAAGAACUAUUUGUCCCUGCCUCUGCCCUACUGUUGUUGAUGCAGAGUUUUGCCAUUGGCCCUGUCAGUCACUCCAUACCCUCUGUCACCCUUCCCUGCCUCUAUGUCAUCUUACCCCACUGAAAAUCCCCCUGCCUAUGUUCCGAACUUAUAUAAGCGAGAGGCUGAUGCCUACUUUGACAGACUCCUUGCCCAGAUGUGUUUCUUUUGGGCCAUCCACACUCGCCAUCCCACUCAGCCCGGGAGAGACCCUGGCAGGACUGGUACCUCUCUCCUCUUACCUAGACCUGCCGGCACCUAAGAGGAGAAAAGAAAAUAUACCACCAUGUUUGGUGAAGCCACUUGCCAGGGGCAUCUCAGAAUAACUUUGCCCAUGGUCUCCAGGUAUCCCCAGCAGACAGUGUACCUGGAUGAGAUGAUGGGGUUUCAACACCGCCUCUGGGGCUCUCCAUAACUGAGUGUGUGCACUAUUGAUGUUAACCUAUGGGGGCGAUGAAACCAAGGGUCAGAGAAUUGUUCUUCAAGGCCAUGCAGCUGCAGUGGGAAACUGGAAUCUGGACUGGAACUGUAGAAUCCUCCUCCAGCUUCUGCUGUGUUGAGGAUGGAACUCAUG